AGUGAACGCUGGCGGUAGGCCUAACACAUGCAAGUCGAACGGCAGCACAGUAAGAGCUUGCUCUUACGGGUGGCGAGUGGCGGACGGGUGAGGAAUACAUCGGAAUCUACUUUUUCGUGGGGGAUAACGUAGGGAAACUUACGCUAAUACCGCAUACGACCUACGGGUGAAAGCAGGGGAUCUUCGGACCUUGCGCGAUUGAAUGAGCCGAUGUCGGAUGAGCUAGUUGGCGGGGUAAAGGCCCACCAAGGCGACGAUCCGUAGCUGGUGUGAGAGGAUGAGCAGCCACAGUGGAACUGAGACACGGUCCAGACUCCGACGGGAGGCAGCAGUGGGGAAUAGUGGAAAAUGGGCGCAAGCCUGAUCCAGCCAUACCGCGUGGGUGAAGAAGGCCUUCGGGUUGUAAAGCCCUUUUGUUGGGAAAGAAAAGCAGCAGGUUAAUACCCCGCUGUUCUGACGGUACCCAAAGAAUAAGCACCGGCUAACUUCGUG
rnacentral:rRNA from 1 species